AUAAUAAUAAAUAAAUAAAUAAAUUUCAAUCUCACCAGCUAUUUUCUUCAACUUUCUGAGUUUGUUCUUUUAGCCUCUGAACUUGGGGAGAGAUGGGAAAUGAGCAUUUUCACGAGUAGGUAAUUAGUACAACAUGGGAUUUGAAUUAAGAGAAUAACAUUAAAUUAAGUUGUACAUAGGACCUUCUUUCAAAUUUUUACAGAGCUCCAAGGUUCUUCAGACCAAGAACAAUCCCAGCACCCAGAAUAUGGCCAACAGAUCCACAAGCCAAUGUAUCAGCAAGAGUGAAACCAGCUGGAUCACCAGUUUGCAGCCCAGAAUCCCUGGCUUCAAGCUUCAAUCCUGCAGUUGCCUUCCUAUUUGCUGAUGGAGCCAACCCAAAUCUCCCAGCAAAUAGCAUUAGGCUUGUUGUGGUCACCAUUAUCUGUCAAUUCAUUUGCCAAAAUAACCUCACUAUAUCAGAAUUUCAUUUUCUGUCUCUCUAAAUUACAAUUAAAGCAUUAAGUAGAUUUUUUAAUCUAAUGACUUUUCUAAAAAAUUUCACGAAUUUACCAACUUUAUAACACAUAUAUGCCGAUUGCACUGAAUAAUUUCUCAAAUCUUAAACUCUACAUAUGUGAGAAGAUAAUGAAAUCUUUACCAAAUUUGUGGGAGAACCAAUGAAAUCCAUGCGGGCACCCAGUGCUCCAUUUCCCUUCCUCCUCAUGGGUUGAGCUACUGCCAGGGAUUUUACAGGGGCAACUGAUAACUGGGGUUUUAACCCAUUGAAUUGUGGGAGAGUGGUCAUCAUAGAGGCUGCCAUUUCCACCUAUUAAUCAGAGCAGCUAAUUCUUCUCCUUUCUUUGAUAAUUUUAUAAAUUGUUUUGGGAUCUAAAAGC
rnacentral:misc_RNA from 1 species